rnacentral:rRNA from 1 species
UACGGGGGGAGCAAGCGUUGUUCGGAUUUACUGGGCGUAAAGGGCGCGUAGGCGGCCAGCACAAGUCAGUUGUGAAAUCUCCGGGCUUAACUCGGAAAGGUCAACUGAUACUGUGCGGCUAGAGUGCAGAAGGGGCAACUGGAAUUCUCGGUGUAGCGGUGAAAUGCGUAGAUAUCGAGAGGAACACCUGCGGCGAAGGCGGGUUGCUGGGCUGACACUGACGCUGAUGCGCGAAAGCCAGGGGAGUAAACGGG